rnacentral:rRNA from 1 species
UACGUAGGGACCGAGCGUUGUCCGGAAUCACUGGGCUUAAAGGGCGCGUAGGCGGGAGGCCAAGUCCGCUGUGAAAUCGCCCGGCUCAACUGGGCGCGGUCGGUGGAAACUGGUCACCUGGAGGACGGUAGAGGCGAGUGGAAUUCCCGGUGUAGUGGUGAAAUGCGUAGAGAUCGGGAGGAACACCUGUGGCGAAGGCGGCCCCCUGGGCCGGCCCUGACACUGAGACGCGAAGGCGUGGGGAGCGAACGGG